rnacentral:misc_RNA from 1 species
GGAAGUAAAGUCGUAACAAGGUUUCCGUAGGUGAACCUGCGGAAGGAUCAUUCAUAAUAAGUGUUUUACUGCACUUUUUAAAAAUAGUACUCACCUUGUGUGCAAUGUUGUGUUUCUUUUCGGAGAAACACCUACACCAACCUAUAACCUUGAACCACUUUGUCUGAAAAACUAUUAUGAAUACUUAAUUCAAAAUACAACUUUCAACAACGGAUCUCUUGGCUCUC